UACGGGGGGGGCAAGCGUUGUUCGGAAUUACUGGGCGUAAAGGGCUCGUAGGCGGCCAACUAAGUCAGACGUGAAAUCCCUCGGCUUAACCGAGGAACUGCCUCCCAAACUGCUUGGCUUGAGACCGGGAGAGGUGAGUGGAAUUCCCAGUGUAGCGGUGAAAUGCGUAGAUAUUGGGAGGAACACCAGUGGCGAAGGCGGCUCACUGGACCGGUACUGACGCUGAUGCGCGAAAGCGUGGGGAGCAAACGGG
rnacentral:rRNA from 1 species